rnacentral:rRNA from 1 species
CCCUUAGAUGUUCUGGGCCGCACACGCGCUACACUGAAGGAGGCAGCGUGUACUCCUGGAUCGAAAGAUUUGGGUAACCCGCGAAUCUCCUUCGUGCUAGGGAUUGAGGUUUGCAAUUAUCCUUCAUGAACGAGGAAUUCCCAGUAAGUGCAAGUCAUAAGCUUGCGCUGACUACGUCCCUGCCCUUUGGACACACCGCCCGUCGCUACUACCGAUUGAAUGAUUUAGUGAGGACUUCGGACUGGGACCGAUGCGGCUUUCGGGCUGCGUCGGUAUUCUGGAAAGAUGUCCAAACUGUAUCAUUUAGAGGAAGUAAAAGUCGUAACA